AUAGGGUCUAGACCUGGCAUAUCUUCAUAGGACCAUGCAAAAAUAUCCGGAUAUUCCCGGAGGAGUCGGAUGAUCUUCUGUUUAACCCCUUCCUCUAGAGUAGCACCAAUCUUGAUUUCUUGCUUGUUUUCCUCGGUACCUAUGUUAAUAAGCUCAAUCUCUUCCUGA
rnacentral:pre_miRNA from 1 species